rnacentral:rRNA from 10 species
GCGCCCGAUCUCGUCUGAUCUCGGAAGUAA